CAUCUGAGAAAGCAUAACCAACACUGACCUCUGACCUCCAUAUACAUGUGCAUGUGGAAUCUGUAGAAACAGAAACAGUUACGACAGUUGGGAGAUGAGGGCAAGAGGCUAAGAAAAUGAGAGUCCUACCUCUUUGAAAUCUAUCAGCUGCAUGAAUGGUGGUGGUGCAUUCUUUAAUCAUAGCAUACAGGAAGCAGAGGUGAAAGGAUCUUUGAGUUCGAAACCAAACUUAUCUACAGAGUGAGUUCCAGGAUACAGAGGACAAUGGCUUCUAACACUUGGAACUCCCUACGUGCAAGGGGGAAGAAGACCACUUCCUAUCUAUAAUCAGCCCUUUCAAGCAGACCUGGGUUUUUGUGAGUGCGGUAGGUAACUGUUCUCUCUGACACCCUUUCAUGGGCUGACGCUAUAGCUCAGCAGUUAAGGGCACUGACUUCACUUCCCAGCACCCGCAUGGCAGCAUUGUGUAUGGUAAACACCAGUGCCGGGGAAUUUAAUGCCUUCUUCUGACCACCUCAGGCACUACACACACAUGCAGGCAAAACUUACACUUACUACUUGUAAAAUAAAAAUAAACAAAUCUUAUAAUAUCCGUUCAUAAAGCUAGUAACCCUAAGUGAAGUGUUUCCUGGAAUUCUCUACACCACUGUAGCCCAUUACUGAGCAUGAGGAAGAGGGUGGUGGAAACUCCUAAGGGAAGCAGGUCACGACAUGGAACUGGGGAGAGCUAUCUAAAGUAGGGCAAGCUGGGAUCUAACACAGACGCCAGGUCUCACUGGAACUGAACUGAAUAACAGGAUCCCUGGUAGGAACAUGCAAAGAACUGGAGAGCUGCUGAUGUAAGACAAACCCGACCACAGUGUCACGACUCUGGGCAAAAAAGGAGCUUUUUUCUUUUUGAAUUUGAACUGUGCCGACAACUCCACUCUUAAGUACUCUACCUGGAAACAAACAUCCUGCAAAGUCUACAUCAUGCUCCCUUACACUAGUCCCAAAAAUCAAACAAUACAAACAAACCCUCUAACAGUAAAAAGAACUUGAACAAUUCUUGGUGCUGGAGAGAUGACUCUCAGUAGGAAAGAAAAGGUGCACUUGCUACAUACAUAACGAUGAGGAGCACACUUCCAAUCCUAGCACCUACAUAACAAAUAUAAUAAAUGGGCAACCCAGAUGUCUGCAACUCCAACGCUAAGGCAGCAAACUCCUUUUAGCCUCAAGGCACACACCUGUACAUGUGCAUAUAUUCAUACAACACAACACACACACACAUACUCUCUCUCUAAAUAUUUCUUAAUGAAUGAAUGUGUCUUAAAACCAUGUAGAGCAGAACAAAGCAAGCAUACCCGAGUGUACAGUGUAUACAAUGCUAAAUGACUUCUAAAAGCAUGGAAAUGAGCCAUAUGCUGAUUAUGGUGAUGGUUAUAUGAGAUAAAAAAUAAGUAGUACAUUUAACUAAACAUCAACUCUACUAAGCUGAUUAAAUAAAAGGCAAAUAAAGGCUACAGUAAAGAUAACAGCUCACACCCAUUAGACUGACUGACACGGACCGGCAAGCCACCAGGUGAUGGAGUCUAGUGGAACUCUACCUUAGCAACAGAAACUUAAACUGGACUAGCACCUGCUGCUCGCUCAAAGACACCUGAGCUGUCUUCUCCGAGUUCCCAAUAUCCUAUCCACAGUCAACUCUUCUAUGUCAGUUGUCUUAGCUAAGCUCCCUGUGCCCACCUGUGCCACCCACAAGCCAACACUUCUAUCUCAGAGCGGUCUACUCAACAGAAACUCGGGGUUCUAUCUACCUAGAAGUGUUAUCCACAUGAGCAACCAAAACUUGGAAGCAACUGCAUUAUUUAUCAACAGCGCUCAGCACUCAGCAGCCCAGCCAUUCAAGCUACCUAGUAAAAAGCAUUGAACUAGAAACGGAAAGUGCAAAGGGGCAAAGACUACAGAUGUGCAAAAUAGGAGAACUUCCCAGAUAGAAUUAUGGGCAAAGUAUAUGAACAUGUGACUACAGAGACACAGCUAGCCCGAUAUACCUUUCUGAGAGCUGGCAGGCACUGCUAACUCUUGGAGGGUUUUGGAAUGAUCUCCAUCAUAUCUACUGAGCUAAUCUUCAACCCCAGGACUUUGUGUUUUAAAGAGUUUUUUUUUUUUUUUUUUUUUGGAGCUGGGGACCGAACCCAGGGCCUUGCGCUUCCUAGGUAAGCGCUCUACCACUGAGCUAAAUCCCCAGCCCUUUAAAGAGUUUUGUAAGAACUUACAUGCCUGGCAAGAUGACGUUUGCAUUUGCAGUGUGACCCUGGGGACCUAAGUUCAAUCCUUAAAAAAAAUACAAUUGUAAUUCCAUCACUCCGAUGGUGAGCUGAGUCUCCUGCCUCUGUGUCAACACAGCAGGACAGAAUCAACCCCCAAAAGUUGUUCUCUGCCCUCUAAGCACACUGUAGAUGUGCGCUUCCACACUCAUCCACACAAACUUAAGUCUUUUUUUAUAUAAGAAUGACUUCUUUUGUCAAUUCCUGGGCACACUGUGCUCACAUCUAUCAGUACACUCUCUCCACUCCAUAGCUACAAUGACUCACUUCCUCCUCUCCCCCAUCUGUUACUAGACGUCUUCCUUCCCUGGAAUAAUGCAGCAGUCUACUAACUGCUCCAAACUGACUGCCAGAAUAAUCUUUAUAAAGCACACAUGUGGCUCAACUUGCACAGUCCAUGUCCACUGCACUCAUCUUCCGGUUCAUGCGAGAAUCCCAAGCCCAGACCCAUCCGCAGGUAACAUGAGGCGAGUAGGACUGCAAGGCAGACAGAAAGCACAAGCUCAGCUCCAAGAGGCAGGAAUCACCGUGCUCCACAUUUUCACACAAAACCAGAAAUGGGGAUGCUGAUACGCAAGGCCCCAGUCCUUAAACUCGAUGCAGAUCAAAUAAAAUUGUCUGUGGGAUCCCUGUCCAAAGGUAAACUAGUCUGUAACUUGUGACCUAAAAAGUCUAGUUUAGUUAUAAUGGCCUUGGCAAGUUCAUCUCCCUCAGCUGCUUCACCCAGGCUACAGGAAGCAAUGCACAGGACUCCUUACUCAUCCCUUCUCAAGAAACCACACACCCUCUGCCAGGCAGAGGUAGCACAUACCGGUAAUCCCACCCCUUGGGAGGCCAGGUAAGAUUGUCAUACAUUCAAGGCCAGCCCAGACUACAUAGCUAGACUCUGCCUCAUAAAAAAACCUGCUCCCACAUGCACACAAUUAAAAAUUAAAGGGAUAUAGAGAAACAGCUCAAUGGUUAAGACCACUUAGUGCUCUUGUAGAAGACUAGGGUUUGGUUCCCAGCACCUGCACGGUAGUUCACAACCACCUGUAACUCCAGUUCCAAGGAAUUUGAAACCUUUUUUCGAUCUUCAUGAGCACCAGGCACAUAUGUGGUACACAUACAUACAUGCAGAUAAAACUCAUACACAAAAAGAGUGUGUGUGUGUGUGUGAUAAAACUAAACUAUUAAAGAGAAAACAAGAUAGACAACCUUUUACCAUGUCCUGGUUCUCUUUGCUAUGAUGGUCCCUACAUCUAUGUCCAUUUCUAAUUUCUGCCAAGCCUCAUAUAGCUUUUAAAAUGUGUCUUGUGACUGGAGAGAUGGCUCAGUGGUUAAGAGCACUGACUGCUCUUACAGAGGUCCUGAGUUCAAAUCCCAGCAACCACGUGGUGGCUCACAACCAUCUGUAAGGGGAUCUGAUGUCCUCUUCUGGUGUGUCUGAAGACAGCUACAGUGUACUCAUAUAUAAUAAAUAAAUAAAUCUUUUAAAAAUGUGUCUUGUGUAGCUAGAGAGAUGGCUUGAUCUAGUUGUGCAAGCAUAAGGCUGGGAAUUCAGACUCUAGCAGCCAUGUAGAAGUUGUGUGUUCUACAUGUACUACUGCAUAGCCUAGCCCAAACAGCACAGGCUCCAGACCCCCUGAGACCCUGUCUUAAAGAGCAAGGCAGAGACUGAAGAGAAAGACACCCAACACCUUCCUCAGGCCUUAUGUAUGCAUACACCACACAAAUAUAACCAACGCUCACAAACAAAAUAAGCAACUAAAACGUCCCUUAUAAAACUUUUUCUGGGCUGGAGAGAUGGCUCAGUGGUUUAGAGCACUGUCUGCUCUUCCAGAGGUCCUGAGUUCAAUUCCCAGCAGCCACAUGGUGGCUCAUAACCAUCUGUAAAGAGAUCUGAUGCCCUUGUCUGUACCUCGUGUGUAUCUGAAGACAGUUACAGUGGACUUAUAUAUAAUAAAUGAAUAAAUCUUUAAAAAAAAAAAAACUUUUUCUAACUCCCACAACACCAAACAAACUGAUUCUCCAUUUAUGAUUGAAAACUACUGGAAGUAACAUAUAUAUGAGUCUAUUCUGUAUCCCAUAAUACUAAAAAGGACAUGCUCAAGAAUGAAUGAAUAAACUACUUACCUAUUUAUAUAACAUGUGCACCUCAACUUUGAUGGCCAUUAUGUUAACAAGAUCCCUUAGAUUUUUUCAGUAUUCAGACUAUCAAGCUCAGAGGGAGAAAAACUGUAAUACUAAAUCUGAAUCAGAAGUAAGAUGAACUCAUAGGUCCUUUUAAAUGUAUUUCUCAGCACUGUCUAUCACAAGGGUCUACAGUGACAAGAAAGUUUCUAGAAAUAGUCCCAUAAAAAGCCAUAGUGUCACAUAGACCUGGGACAAUCUGGUUCCAAAAAGCGGGGAGACACACAAAGACUGGUGGCCAUAUCAAAGGAAAAUGGGAGCCACCGGAUGGGGCUCUCAUUAACCAAAUCUGGGACACUGAGAAUCAGUAAGGAGGGUAACUGACGGUUAACACAUUGUAUAAACAAAAUCCCACCGGAGUAUGACGGCACAGAUAGAAAGGGAGAACCAGGCUAGUCUUUGAACACUAGCUAAUAAACAGAAGAAGAAUGACAACUAAACCACAACUUUGUGACCCUACUUCAAUAAAAGACUGGAGGGUUGGAGGCUGGAGUCUCUAGGUGAGGAGCUGUGAGUAAGAAAGACUGUUAAAAGACGCCACGCGGUGCCCUGGAGACAACCUUGCCAAGAGCAGAGGGGAAACUGCAAUUACUACAGAGUUCUGGCUGCUGCCACAUUAACCAAGAACAGUUCAGCGCAGCUCUUAUUGCCUGUGAUGUGAUUUGAUGUGAAGGGCAUUUCUCCUAUGACAAAGCAUCCCUAUGAAAAAGCUUAGCUUGGAUUACAGCUCACCAAAGCUCCGUUUACAGGAACUAAAGCAGCAAGUGAAUGCAUGUGGAAUGCUACACACUGCUGCACACAUAUGAGGAACUACCUAAACUGGGCUCUUCCGAGAAGUCAGUGGGGGAAAGGAAAGAUAAGCAGCUGCUUCUAAAUUAGGACAGCAGAGACAACUAAGUUCAAAUUUCGGGGCAACAACACCAAAAUGUUUGCAACUACUCUCAAAAGAUUUGUACCAGGGUAAGAAAGAAAGGGGGGAGGGGAUAAGAAGGGAAAGAACAGAAGGAAGAUGCCAAGGUCACCCAUGAUGAUUGCUGAGCACAAAAGAAUGCAUCUGUCUGUCUGACUCCCAAAUCCAUGUACAUAUCCUAUUUUUCAUGCAAGGUCAAAGAGCUUAACCUCAGUGCUAUAGCAACUACCCAUUAAGCGGAAGGCGUUGGUGGGCUGGAGAGCUUCCAGUUUAAAGUCCACUUAACACCAUUAGGAAAUGAGUGCAGUCUGAGGCAAAGCCUAUGCAGGUAUAUGCUAAGGAUCAAACUCAAGCCCUGCACCUUAGGCAAGCCACUGAGACAAACCCCAGCCCAGGGCCAGAUCUUUCAAAGUGCCUACCUAGCCCAACUCCUCCUCAGAAUCUUCCCUAAAGAUAUACUACUUCACAUGUGGAAUGGCACACGCACAAAGUCAUUCUUAUAGUACUGUAAGUUACAGCAAAACCGAAAAUGAUUCACGUGGCAGUCAUCAGUCCAGGCUAUUGCACAAAUUACAGCCCUAUUAUACAACAAAUCGGCUUGCAUUUUAAAAAGCAUCCCCCAGAAAGUGAGUGUCCUUUAGGAAUUGAUAGCUAAGAUGAUUAAAUCAUAUUUUACAUUAAAGUAGGUAAGAUUCAGGGCUGUAGAGAUGGCUCUACACUGUUAGGAACACAGGUACCUGGGUUCAAUGCCCAGCACCCACACAGUGGUUCACAACUGUCUAUAGCUACAGUUCCAGAGAAUCCAAUACCCUCCUCUGGCCUCCUCCAUCACCAGGCACAUAUCUGUGGUAUGCAGACAUGCAUACAAGCAAACAAACAAAAAACACUCCUACACGGGGUUGGGGAUUUAGCUCAGUGGUAGAGCGCUUGCCUAGCAACCGGAAGGCCCUGGGUUCGGUUCCCAGCUCUGGAAAAAAAAAAAAAAAAAAAAGAGUGUGGACAGACUUCUUUGGGCUGGAGAGAUGGCUCAGCGGUUAAGAGCACCCGACUGCUCUUCCAGAGGUCACGAGUUCAAUUCCCAGCAACCACAUGGUGGCUCACAACCAUCUGUAAAGAGUUCUGAUGCCCUCUUCUGGUGUAUCUGAAGACAGCUACAGUGUACUUAUAUAUAAUAAAUUAAAAAAAAAAAAACAUUCCUACACAUAAGAUAAAAUAAGAUUAAAUAAAUUUAAAAAAUAAUUUUUUAAUUUAUAUGAAAAAAUUACAUACAUAGUAGAACAUGCCUUUAAUCCUGACACUCAGAAGCAAAGGCAGGCAAAUCUCUGAUCUACACUGCAAGUUCCAAGCUAGCCAGGAAAUUUUCAUCUCAAAAUAAAACAACAAUAAAAAUACUAGUAGUAAUAAAAAUAAGGUAGGCAUAUAUAGAAAAGGUUAGGUGUGCUUAUAGAACAAGAGCCUUGUAUUUUCUUUUGCACUGCGCACUUUAUGGCCCAUACAGCAGAUACAUAUAAUUUACCUUAAAAUGAGUAAAAUAUUGAUGGCCAUCUCCAACAGUCUUAAGUGAUUAAGAUAAAUAUAGCAUGAGGUAAAAAGAAUUGCAUUAAAAAUCCCUUAAGAAGGGCUCUUUCCAGAACCCACGUGACAGCUCCUAACCAUCUCUAAGCCCUCUUCUGGCCUCUGUGGGCACUACACACAAGUGGCACACAAGCAUACAUGCAAAUACCCACACCCACCAAAUACAAACAAAUCUGUUUUAAAAUCCCCUAAGGUUCUCAACCUGUGAGUUGCAUCCCUUUGGGGAUGCAUAUCAGAUAUUUAAUUACAAUUUAUAACAGUAGCCAAAUGGUUAUGAAGUAGCAACAAAAUAACUGCCCCCCCCCCCCCACCACCACAGUAUGAGGACCUAGAUCAAAGGGUCAAAGUGUUAAGAAGGUUGAGAACCACUGGUCUAAGGACUGGUGAAUUUGAGCUCAGAGAAUUCAUGAACUACACAGAGAUACUCUGUCUCAAAAUUAACUCCCCAAAGGCAGUGCUACACUAGAGACCAACACAGCAGUCUAUUAUUCCAACAAGGCUAAUUCUGACUCCUGCACUAGAACAGCUGUUGCUUUAACUGACAAGUAGGUAAAAUAGCUGACUUGUAUGUAUUCAGGCUUCAUGCUGUGAUGUUUAAAUGCCGUUUAAAAUUCCAUGGUUGCACUCACCAGGGCUAGGUGAGAAACACUCAAAACUGAGGCUGGCUAGGAGGCUAGGUGCCUCUUGGCUAUCUAUCAUUGCCCAGGUUAUUUUUCUCCUGAUGUAACCGGAUGUGGAACUGAAAUCAGGGGAAGGAACAAAGGAUGUACAUACAGUGAGCUCAGUGACUUUCUGAUAGCCGGUUAGAGUAAGAAAAGAUGCGACUGCGAGCAAUGGUUUCAUCUGUCAAUGGGAACAGGAACUAGCAGGCUGCUGGGAAAUCAGAGUUCGAGAGAUGUGUAGCCAUACCUGGUCAGCAUCACAGCCCAUCCCUGUGUGCUGGCACCCCAGACAGGCCGUCUGAGUCAUCUCACACAGCUACAUGAAGGCAGAGGCUCCCAAACUUCCCUACUGGUGAGCUCAGACCAAUAUUACAUACAGCUAUCUCUACCCUUAGGUUUGUUUCAUCUACUGGUGAAUCAAAUUCGUCAUUAAUUUUGCCUAAUAUAAACUCAUUUUUCUUUUCCCCUAAUACGUUCUAUUACAGUAUUACCAAUCCUAAGGACGAAAGCAAACACCUACCCCAAGGCCUCAAGGCAGAAGAAAAAUCUAAAACUCAUGAUAUUACUCCUCAAGUCUGCUACUAAAGCCAACAACCCCUGAACUCUGAGAUCCGAGGCCUACAACUUCCACAAAGCAACGGCGCCCUAGUGAACCCUAGUGAACCCUAGUGAACCCUCUUGCACCUCUGCCUUCCAUCUCUUCAUCCUGCAUCCAUUUACCAAGCUGACCUCCUGAAACACCAAUUCAUUUUUGUUUCCCUUUUUACAUCAACAACAAAGAGAAAAUGACAAAGCAAGAGAAAUGAAUAACACAGUAGGUGAAAACACACCCCACAGAGCAGCGUGCAGUAAUGAUGGCGAAUGUGCCAGGGGUAUGAUCCUCAGUGUGCCCGUGUACAGCACACUAUACGACCAAGUUACAUAAGCUUAGUAAGCCAACCAUCUCCUUAAGAGUACAAAGUGGACAGAAAAUGGGUCACAGCAAUGACAAAGGAACUCGAAGCAAACCAGGGGCCAGAGCUGGGGAGAAGGCUCAUCGGAAAAGCUCUCCUCCUACAAGCUGGAGGAGGGGAGUCCGAAUCCCAAUCCCAGCAGCUAACUAUACUAGCCCAUCCGAUCAGUGAAGCUCACUGUAAUGAAACCUCAGGUAAAUAAAGUAAAGAGCAAUGGAGAAAGA